UACGUAGGGUCCAAGCGUUAUCCGGAAUCACUGGGCGUAAAGGGCUCGUAGGCGGCCAACUAAGUCGGAUGUGAAAUCCCCAGGCUUAACCUGGGAACUGCAUCCGAUACUGGAUGGCUUGAAUCCGGGAGAGGGAUGCAGAAUUCCAGGUGUAGCGGUGAAAUGCGUAGAUAUCUGGAGGAAUACCGGUGGCGAAGGCGGCAUCCUGGACCGGCAUUGACGCUGAGGAGCGAAAGCUAGGGGAGCAAAGCGGGG
rnacentral:rRNA from 1 species